rnacentral:tRNA from 1 species
GCUGGGGUGGCCGAGCGGCUAAGGCGGCAGACUCAAGAUCUGCUGGCUCAGUGCCAUCGUGGGUUCGAGUCCCUCCCCCAGCA